UUACAAAUAUUGAUCUCAGCCGAUGGCCUAAAACACAGAUAUCAGACGAUCUUGAAUCCUGUAAGAAAGUUAGAAACAAACAACCCCCGAAACCCUAAAUUACUGAGAGAAAUAAAAAAGUUUUUGAGAUAAGAUGCGGAUCACAUCCGAUCACCACAAAUCUGGUAAGAAAAACAGAAAAUAGACGGAAAAUAGCACAUAUAGGGGAAAUUAAGGCAGAAAUGUUGAUCGCUUACUGCUCGGCAAAUCUAGAUACACUAAUCUUGUCCAAUUGCACCACAAAUCUUGUGACAAUCACGCAUAUCUCCCCAUAUCCAGAUAGAACGACGCAAAUUUCGCCGAUACACUGCAGAUCUAGAAAGAAAAACGUAGAUCCUAUCUAUUGAUGCAAGAAUAGGCCUAGCGAAAAUCGUAGAUCCAAUAUCUUGAUUCGACCUAUUGAAAAACUAAGCUAUAGCAACAGAAAAAGGAAAUUUGGAGCAGGAAAAAUCUAAAUACCAG
rnacentral:misc_RNA from 1 species